UAGUCCUAGCCGUAAACGAUGUUCACUAGGUGUAGGAUGUCGACAGGCAAACUGUGCUGAAGCUAACGCGAUAAGUGAACCGCCUGGGGAGUACGUCCGCAAGGAUGAAACUCAAAGGAAUUGACGGGGGCCCGCACAAGCGAUGGAGCGUGUGGUUUAAUUCGAAGCUAAGCGAAGAACCUCACCAAGUCUUGACAUAUAAGUGGUAGAGAAGGGAAACCGGAUCGACUCUAGUUUACUAGAGAGCUUAUACAGGUGGUGCAUGGUCGUCGUCAGCUCGUGCCGUGAGGUGUUGGGUUAAGUCCCGCAACGAGCGCAACCCUUGUAAUUAGUUGCCAGCAUUUAAGAUGGGCACUCUAAUUAGACUGCCGUCGAAGAGACGGAGGAAGGAGGGGGACGACGUCAGAUCAUCAUGCCCCUUAUGACUUGGGGCUACACACGUGCUACAAUGGAACGCACAGAGGGGCAGCUAA
rnacentral:rRNA from 1 species